GUAACCCUUUCCAUAUAACUCGACCAGUAAAAUAAAAGGAAUUGCUAACUGGCUACCUGCUGAUCUACCCUAUAAUUCACCAACUUGUUUUACUCAUCUUUCACUCUUACACUCUUACAUUCAUCACUCAACGGUUGAGAUCAUCCCUGUGAAAUCCAACGCUCCAUGUCAUCUCCACCUCCCACCUCGCACCAUAACCCCAACCCGACUCCCGUCUUCCACGCGAUUCUUCCUCCCCUUUCCUUCCCGUCUUCCACGCUACAGAUUGCGCCUCCUCAAUUCCUCAUUGUCUCGCGAAUUUUUGCGCCUAGGUCGCCCUCACUCGAAGCGACGACACCCUCGUUUCCCUCUCUGCCCACCAUGCCACGUGCAAGUCCUUUGCCGAUGACCAUGGAGAGACCGUCAAAAUCUGUUGGUCGCCGUCACCGAUACAGCCGAUAGCGCCUCCUUUCCCUAUUGAUCUGUUGCUAGAGAAUGGGGCGAGGGUCAAGCGCAAUGCCCAAGCCCAGACUCCAACCCAACCCACAAAUCGUUUGCACCCUUCUGCACCGAUCGCCGUAACCGGUCGGCUGCCAUAAGCGGUUCUCUGUCUACCCAACUCGCCGGUCAAUAGAUCGCAACGCCCCACCACAUUUCGUCCCUGGUCGGCUGCUGCUUGCUCUUCCACUAAUUUGAUCUUGCAAUUUCAAAAUCAUAAUGCUUCAGCAGUGGAAUUUGCGGAUAAGGUCAGUGAUGCUUGGUGUCAAGGUACGCCCACUGGGCUUCCACACGAACCAUGGCGAGGUGCUGUUCCGCUGCUGGGACAUGGUAAAAUCUUUUAGACCAAACCAUUUGAUGUGCUAGCUUAUAUCGUGCUUGUCUAUACCUGCUAAAAUCACUUCUACAAAACUGUAUGAUGGUUCCGGUAAGAAAGUCAAAUCGAUCGGUAAUGUUCAGAAUUGAGAAACAUGAAUAUUGAUCUGUGCAGUCUUCAGGAAGUGUUGAGUUCUGUGUGAGUAAAUGAGUAUGUAAGUAGGGGAGAAGCACUGCAAGUAGUGAUUUGUCUAUGGCAUAUAUCAUCAUGAUCUGCUCCUUGUAUAAAGAGCUUCAGAAUUCAGAUUAAUUUUUUUAGAGAAAUAAUUCAGAUUAAUUUCACAAACUAGAUUGAUCAGGGUUUUGCCGAACCUUGUCUAUCUUAACUUAGUGCAAAUAUCAGUUUGUCAAA